CGGACGGGUGAGUAACACGUGGGUAACCUGCCCUUAAGAGGGGGAUAACAUUUGGAAACAGAUGCUAAUACCGCAUAGAUCCAAGAACCGCAUGGUUCUUGGCUGAAAGAUGGCGUAAGCUAUCGCUUUUGGAUGGACCCGCGGCGUAUUAGCUAGUUGGUGAGGUAAUGGCUCACCAAGGCGAUGAUACGUAGCCGAACUGAGAGGUUGAUCGGCCACAUUGGGACUGAGACACGGCCCAAACUCCUACGGGAGGCAGCAGUAGGGAAUCUUCCACAAUGGACGCAAGUCUGAUGGAGCAACGCCGCGUGAGUGAAGAAGGCUUUCGGGUCGUAAAACUCUGUUGUUGGAGAAGAAUGGUCGGCAGAGUAACUGUUGUCGGCGUGACGGUAUCCAACCAGAAAGCCACGGCUAACUACGUGCCAGCAGCCGCGGUAAUACGUAGGUGGCAAGCGUUAUCCGGAUUUAUUGGGCGUAAAGCGAGCGCAGGCGGUUUUUUAAGUCUGAUGUGAAAGCCCUCGGCUUAACCGAGGAAGCGCAUCGGAAACUGGGAAACUUGAGUGCAGAAGAGGACAGUGGAACUCCAUGUGUAGCGGUGAAAUGCGUAGAUAUAUGGAAGAACACCAGUGGCGAAGGCGGCUGUCUGGUCUGUAACUGACGCUGAGGCUCGAAAGCAUGGGUAGCGAACAGGAUUAGAUACCCUGGUAGUCCAUGCCGUAAACGAUGAAUGCUAGGUGUUGGAGGGUUUCCGCCCUUCAGUG
rnacentral:rRNA from 1 species